UACAGAGGUCUCAAGCGUUGUUCGGAUUCAUUGGGCGUAAAGGGUGCGUAGGUGGCGGGGCAAGUCAGGUGUGAAAUCCCGGAGCUCAACUCCGGAACUGCACUUGAUACUGCUUUGCUAGAGUACUGGAGAGGAGAUUGGAAUUUACGGUGUAGCAGUGAAAUGACGUAGAUAUCGUAAGGAAGACCAGUGGCGAAGGCGACUUCCUGGCCUGUUCUUGACGCUGAGGCGCGAAAGCUAGGGGAGCAAACGGG
rnacentral:rRNA from 1 species